GUGUUCCCUUCAGCAGCACCUACAUUAAAAAUUGGAACAACUCAGAGAUCUAAAUGGCCCCUGGGCAUGGAAGACACACAAAUUCAUGAAGUGCUCCGUAUUUUU